UACAGAGGUCUCAAGCGUUGUUCGGAUUCAUUGGGCGUAAAGGGUGCGUAGGCGGCGCGGUAAGUCGGGUGUGAAAUCUUGGAGCUUAACUCCGAAACUGCAUUCGAUACUGCCGUGCUUGAGGACUGGAGAGGAGACUGGAAUUUACGGUGUAGCGGUGAAAUGCGUAGAUAUCGUAAGGAAGACCAGUGGCGAAGGCGGCUCACUGGCCCGAUACUGACGCUGAGGCACGAAAGCGUGGGGAGCAAACAGG
rnacentral:rRNA from 1 species